rnacentral:tRNA from 1 species
UCAAAAAGGCCGGAAU